rfam:TPA: Bos taurus chromosome 3, whole genome shotgun sequence.
UCCCUGGUAGCUCAGCGGGCAAAGCAUCUGCCUGCAAUGCAGGAGACCCUGCUUUGAUUCCUGGGUUGGGAA